rnacentral:tmRNA from 1 species
GGGUCUGUCAUGGUUUCGACAGGGGUCAUGCAGCGGAAGAAGCGAGUCCCACGCUAAUGGGUUAAAUGGGCAAAAUUAAAAUUAAACGCUAACGAUAGAGUAGCAUUAGCUGCCUAAUGGCAGCAGUCUGACCUAGGGCACCUACACCUUAGGACCCAGGCUUCGAACUUGUAGGAAACGACAUUAUCUAAGCUUUGCGAUAGUGGGCGUAUUAUGAAGCUACUUAAGCAUGCAGCCUGUUUGUGGGCGUCAUGUGGAGGGAAUGUAAAAAUACAAACUACACUCGUAGAAGGGCCGGGAAUUGGCUUUUGGACACGGGUUCGACUCCCGUCAGAUCCACUA